ACAUCUAUGGCGCGGAUUCAACUGAUGCGGCCAAGUCUAUGGAUGCAGCGAUUGCUCCAGCCAUUGACAUGAAGCUUCCUUGGGCUGCUGUUAUUGGGAAUCAUGACCAAGAGGGUACGCUAUCUCGUGAGGGUGUAAUGCGUCACCUUGUGGGCAUGAAGAACAGCCUUUCAGGACUCAAUCCCGAAGGAGUUGAAAUUGAUGGCUACGGCAAUUACAAUUUGGAAGUUUCUGGUGUUGAAGGAACAUCACUGGCUGAAAAAUCAGUGCUUAACCUUUAUUUCCUAGACAGUGGUGACUAUUCUACUGUACCAUCAAUCAAAGGUUAUGGUUGGAUCAAGGCCUCACAGCAAGUUUGGUUCCAACAAACAUCUUCAAGCCUACAGGUAAGUUAGGUGACACUCCUUUAGAAGAAAUCUAUCUUAACUCAUGGCUCCUAGAUCGUUGUUUUGCCUUGUACAAUAACUCAAACACAGCAGGACUAUUGCUCCUAAUUUGCCAAUUGGCUCACGUUUGUUUCAUCUAUUACAUUUUAGAAACAAAUCGUAGUGAAUCAACUUAGAGGAAAUGAUGAAUUUGAAGCAUGGGCAGCAUACGUUAUAUGACAAGCUUCCUAGAAUUUUGGGAUAGAUGAAAUUAGUAAAUAUAUGUUGAUUCAUAUGAUGUACCAAGUUUAACAAUGCAAAGCACUAUCUUUAAUCAUUCAGAACUCAAAUGCUCAUAAUGUUCAAAGUUCAAUUCUAUUAUUCAUCACAAAUGUUCAUCUUAAAUGCAGAGAAAAUAUAUGAAUGAAAAUCCGAAGCAGAAGGAGCCAGCACCUGGCCUUGUGUUCUUCCAUAUUCCACUGCCAGAGUUCAGCAGCUUUACAGCAGUCAAUUUCACAGGAGUAAAACAGGAGGGUAUUAGCUCAGCAUCAAUCAACUCUGGGUUCUUUGCGUCCAUGGUGGAGGCUGGAGAUGUGAGGGCUGCCUUUAUCGGACAUGAUCACAUUAAUGACUUCUGCGGAAAGCUCAGUGGUAUUCAGCUAUGCUAUGCUGGCGGAUUUGGUUACCAUGCCUAUGGGAAGGCUGGGUGGUCAAGGAGAGCGAGGGUGGUGUCUGUGCAACUUGAGAAGACAUACAACGGUGAAUGGCGAGGAGUGAAGUCCAUCAAGACAUGGAAGAGGCUUGAUGAUCCCCAUCUCAGCACAAUUGACUCUGAGGUCCUUUGGAACAGAGGCUCUAAUGGUAAGACAGAGACUAUGGGUGCCUUUGAUGGAUGAUUAUUGUAAAAGGAAAAUGGGUGGUAGACAAUUAAUAUGAUGUUAGAUGUUUGAUUUAUCUCCUAUUGACACAAACUAACGUUUUUUGACACAGCUACUAAUCUAGGAAUUGUCAAUUGACAGGGAGGCGCAAGAAGAAUCCUGAUGGUAGUAACUCGUGAUCUGGCCAGAAAAUGGAGCGCCAUAUUGGAUCUCUGUGCAUCGAUGUGUAUUUUUGGAUGGCCAAUUUACCAUAGAGUUGCAAAAUGCAGAAAUGUGCAGAUGGGAAGAACAGGAAGAAUGCAUACGAAACGUGCACAGACUUUUGCAGUUGUAUUUUUUCCCAGUUUAGGAAAUUACAAAUCGUGAAGUAAAUUGUAAUUCAGUGCAGCUGUCAACUAUUUGCAAGUGGCCUCAAAUAUAGUGCAAUGGUCAAGGAAAUCGAGAAUGCAGUGCCAUUACAGUCUCAUGUAUUCAUGUAUCGUUACUGGCACCAUCUUUCAACUGCGAUCCAAACUACUGGUAAAAUCAAGAGCCAAGGGUUAUUCACGUUUGUGUGGCGUAGCUCCCCAUACAGCAGGGUGGGGCAGCUGCCCCAGCUAUCGCCGGAGCCGAACCCCCCUCUCCCGUGGCGAUCCCGACGGCCGGAGAGGCGACUGGAGGCGGCGUACUGGUCGUCGGACGACUGGAAAAGGAAGAAAACUCAUAUUGGGCCGGGGGCGCUCAUAGUCGACGGCCCAACUAGUUUUUGGCCCAGCGUCUACGUCGCACCUUUCAAGUCCGAAGGCGCCCGAUGGUUCAGCGAGGCGGAACCCGCGCGCCCGCGCCGGCCGCCCUGCUGCUGCAUCGGAGGAGAUCAGGAGGGGGGCGCGAUUUCAUGGAUGGGGGCCGAAGAGAGAGCAGAGGAGCGCCACCGCUUCUCUGUUCGAUCUGCAUCGGCGUUGCGUCUCCACGCUUACCUGCCGCGUCACGUUGCCCCUCACCGGCUCUCUUCAAGUUUGAUCAAUCUUUGUUCUUUGGUAAGAAGGCAGCGCUUGAGUUAGUUCUAGCUAGCGUCCUUGAGUAGUUCCGUCAUGUUUUGUUGUUGCCCGGAUCUGCUGUAGGCUAGUGCCAGCAGCUUGUAGUUAUCAUUUUUUUUAAUUGGAUAGUACUAGCUUGUAGUUAUACUGCAAUACUAGUGUUCACUAGAUUAUUAUAUUUAUGGAUUUAAUGCUUCUACUUGGUUGACUACUACUAAUUUGCUCGCUUGCUAGUUCAGCUUGUCCUGCUAGAAAAAUUAAGUGUUUUCGAUACCAUUUAUAUUUGUCGCGCAAAUCUGCUCCACCUAAAAUUCGGAGCAAGCUACGCUAAAAUUGUGGCUUUGCUUUUUCUUUUGGUGCUGAGCGCCUCUGUUUCAGUAACGACAUAGGGGCAUUCCUGUUUCUCUGCCACCCAGGUUCAGACGUCCAGUUUCUCGGCUUCACCGUCAGGCGUCAGGCCGUCAAGGUUGGCUGGCGCGACCGAGACCGUGCGCCGUGCGGGCCCUUGCACGACUCGGGGUCGAUCGGCGUGUUGACUAUGGCAGUACUAAGUAACCAGAGAGAUGGUACGAGUAAGGCCUGGUUUGGUUCACUGACUUAAAUUUAAGCAACCGUCACAUCGAAUGUUUAGAUACUAAUUAGAAGUAUUAAACGUAGACUAUUUACAAAACCCAUUACAUAAGUGGAGGCUAAACGGCGAGACGAAUCUAUUAAACCUAANNNNNNNNNNNNNNNNNNNNNNNNNNNNNNNNNNNNNNNNNNNNNNNNNNNNNNNNNNNNNNNNNNNNNNNNNNNNNNNNNNNNNNNNNNNNNNNNNNNNACAUUCGUACCAAUAAACAAUCUGGAAAAUUAAUAAUAUACUAAUAGUUGGGCAGGCAAUGGUAAUGUCACCCGACCAAGAAUCUCUCUUUAUACCCUUUACAGGGUACCUUUACAUAUCCCUUUCAAUAUUUCAAAUGAUACAUCGAGCCUCGCAUCGAUGAAGAAUGUAGCCAAAGGCUCAUACCAUGGUGUGAAUUGCAGAAUCCCGCGAACCAUUGACGCAUGGGUAAGCUACUAGAUCGAGAUGUUUCGUCCCUCUAACUAAACCUUUAAGGCAGUCGGAUACAUUGUCAAAUCAUGAACUAAUUAGGCUUAAUAGAUUCGUCUCGCCGUUUAGCCUCCACUUAUGUAAUCGGUUUUGUAAAUAGUCUACGUUUAAUACCCCUAAUUAGUAUCUAAAUAUUCGAUGUGACACGUGCUAAAAAUAAGUAAAGGGAACCAAAAGCCACCUAAGCCACGCGUAUUAAUGGCGCUGCUAUGAGUGGCAUGUACUUCCACCGUCCGAAUUUUAGUUUCGUUUUGAUAUUUCUAAAUUAAUAGAUUUUACUAUGCAUUUAGAUGUAUAUUAUAUCUAGAUGUACAGCAAACACUACGAAUUUAAAAAUGCAAAAUGAUUUACAAUUUAAAAUGAAGGGAGUUAGCAAUUGUGAUGACAUGGCACAUUAUUUAUAAGGUAUUAUAAAGUGAGAGAAGAAAGUUUCACGAGGAUAAAACCAUAUCUAGAUUAUUUCUAUGGCAGUUGUGUCUUGUAUAUAGUAUUGGAAACAAUAAAAAAAUAAAAUAAUGUACUGUGUGUGAUCUUUUUCAUCUAUAUAAACUAAAUGUCCUCCUACUUAGGCGGUAUGUUUGAAACAUAAAUAUGACUUUACAUUGAAGACGGUCUAACUUAGGGCCCGUUUGGCACGGCUUUGGCUCGUGCAAAAAUAACUUUGGCUCUAGCUCAUCUGGAAAAGCAGCUUUUUCUGGCUCUGGCUUAUUUUGAAGGAAAAUGUUUGGCAAAACGGCUUCUCCUAGCUUUUUAGAUUGGAAAGAAGGUGUCAAAUGUCCAAAAUACCCUUAUAUUUUUCUAUUCUCUUUUUCUUUUUUUCUCCUCAUUUUCCUUUUCUUUUUCUUUCUCUUUCCUUCUCCCCUUCUUUUCUUUUCCCCUCCUCUCUCCUUAUCCAUCCGCUCCUCCCUCCCGACCUUAUCCGCCCCGACCGCCUGGCCCUCCUCCGCCCCUCCAGCGCCACCCCGCCGGCCCCGGCUCCGUCGCCGCCAAGGCGCCGCCCCGGCACUCCUCCGCCCCUCCGCCGCCACAGCGCCACCCUGCCGGCCUCGGCUCCUUCCGCCGCCACAGCGCCGCCCCAGUCCUCCUCCGCCCCUCGGUCGCCACAGCGCCGCCUUGCCGGCCUCGGCUCCGUCCGCCGCCACGGCGCCGCCCCGGUCCUCCUCCGCCCCUCCGCCACCACGGCGCCGCCCCGGCACUCCUCCGCCCCUCCGCCACCACCGGGGACAAGGAUGGAAAGUGACGAGGAGGAGCCGGAAUAAGCCACUUUUUUUGGCUUCCGGUGGAUGGAGAAACGUAGAGACCGCAUUUUGCGGGGCUUCUACUGGCUUUCGCGGGUGAGCCGUUUUGCCUUCUCCCGUUUGGCACGGCUUCAUCAAAAGCCAUCCUAGAAGCCGCUCGAUGAGCCGUGCCAAAGGGGCCCUUAGCAGAUUGUAGGAAAGUCCAACGUGCAAGUUCCAGGAUACAGGUGCUACAAGUCUGCAACCUGCCGAGAUAAAGGAUUUGCUGUGCAAUUUUAGCAAAUCCGAAGCGUCCAAACCCUCUCCUAUAUAAACAAGCCAACGACCCCGCUCCGCCACGGUAAUCCUGUCAGUCCCCGGAUUCCUUCUCGCAAUCUAUCUCAUCAAUUCAUCACUCCCCACGCCGCAACGCGGCGUCAUGGCCGGCGGCGGCCUCGGCCUGCGCGGCGCGCACCGGCCGGUGGCGCUGCUCCUGGUCCUCGUCGCCGCCGCGGCCGGUGCCGCCGCGGGGAAGGGGAAGGGGGCGCACGCUGGUACCAGCAGGCUGCGGUUCCGGCGGGAGAGCGGGACGUUCAAGGUGGUGCAGGUGGCGGACAUGCACUACGCCGACGGCCGGGCCACGGGCUGCGAGGACGUGCUCCCGUCGCAGGUGGCCGGGUGCUCCGACCUCAACACCACCGCCUUCCUCUACCGCGUCUUCCGCGCAGAGGACCCCGACCUCGUCGUCUUCACCGGUGGGUACCCGCCGCUCUUAACCUCCCUCGUCCCUUGUUAUUCCUAGUCAAUUAAUUAGUCAAUCGAUUUGACCUCAUCGGCUCUUCUUAAUCUCACUUUCAUCCGAAUCAGUUCUUCAUCUCACUUUUCAUCCGCUGUGGUUUAGUUGAUCGGAUAGAAUAACUGGAACGACUAAAUCAGUCAGUGUGUGUAUGCUCGGGUUUGUCAGCGUUUAUUCAAGUAUAUUAUUCUGUGGUCGAGAUCCCAUUCUGAAAAAAGUUCAUUAAAGGAAGUGUAGCUUCAGCGGCUUUGAUUAGUACAAGAAGCUUGCACUGUGUUCUAAGGACUGGAUCCAGGAUCUCCCAAUCCAAGGGGUCCCUGGUCGCAUGCCAUGCCCAUUGCCCAGUCCAGUGAGGCCCCAAUUGAUGAUUGGCCCAGGAUGAUGACAUUCGGCUACUGGUGCGAUGAUGGAUGUGUCCAUGAUGGCGAUGAGGGCCAAAUGGAGCUACAAUCAGUGAACAGUACAAAUGUACUCCCUCUGUAAUUGCAGGUCCUAGAAAAGCUAAAACGACCUGCAAUUUGGGAGACGGAGGGAGCAGUUGGUUUUCUGAUUAUGUCUAGGUUACUGUCAUUAUUUCGUCAUUUGUUUCACAGGCAAUUGUGCUUAAUUAUUCACGCCAAUGAUUCGCACUCAAGUUUCUGCAGGCCUGCAAGCAGAUUAUUUUUAGGAUAUUAAUUUAUGACAGUUUUGUUGGACAGGUGAUAACAUCUAUGGCGCGGAUUCUACUGAUGCGGCCAAGUCUAUGGAUGCAGCGAUUGCUCCAGCCAUUGACAUGAAGCUUCCUUGGGCUGCUGUUAUUGGCAAUCAUGACCAAGAGGGUACGCUAUCGCGUGAGGGUGUAAUGCGUCACCUUGUGGGCAUGAAGAACAGCCUUUCAGGACUCAAUCCCGAAGGAGUUGAAAUUGAUGGCUACGGCAAUUACAAUUUGGAAGUUUCUGGUGUUGAAGGAACAUCACUGGCUGAAAAAUCAGUGCUCAACCUUUAUUUCCUAGACAGUGGUGACUAUUCUACUGUACCAUCAAUCAAAGGUUAUGGUUGGAU
rnacentral:lncRNA from 1 species